rnacentral:rRNA from 1 species
GGCUCAGGAUGAACGCUAGCGGCAGGCUUAACACAUGCAAGUCGAACGGCAGCACGGGAGCAAUCCUGGUGGCGAGUGGCGAACGGGUGAGUAAUAUAUCGGAACGUGCCCGGGUCGUGGGGGGAUAACGUAGCGAAAGCUACGCUAAUACCGCAUACGAUCUACGGAUGAAAGCGGGGGAUCGCAAUACCUCGCGCGAUUGGAGCGGCCGAUAUCAGAUUAGGUAGUUGGUGAGGUAAAGGCUCACCAAGCCGACGAUCUGUAGCUGGUCUGAGAGAACGACCAGCCACACUGGGACUGAGACACGGCCCAGACUCCUACGGGAGGCAGCAGUGGGGAAUUUUGGACAAUGGGCGAAAGCCUGAUCCAGCAAUGCCGCGUGCAGGAAGAAGGCCUUCGGGUUGUAAACUGCUUUUGUACGGAACGAAAAGGUUUCUAUUAAUACUAGGAGCUCAUGACGGUACCGUAAGAAUAAGCACCGGCUAACUACGUG